UACGUAGGGUGCAAGCGUUAAUCGGAAUUACUGGGCGUAAAGCGUGCGCAGGCGGUUUUGUAAGUCUGUCGUGAAAUCCCCGGGCUCAACCUGGGAAUUGCGAUGGAGACUGCAAGGCUAGAAUCUGGCAGAGGGGGGUAGAAUUCCACGUGUAGCAGUGAAAUGCGUAGAGAUGUGGAGGAACACCGAUGGCGAAGGCAGCCCCCUGGGUCAAGAUUGACGCUCAUGCACGAAAGGCGUGGGGAGCAAACGAGGAUUACGAAA
rnacentral:rRNA from 1 species